UACGGGGGGGGCAAGCGUUGUUCGGAAUUACUGGGCGUAAAGGGCUCGUAGGUGGCCAACUAAGUCAGACGUGAAAUCCCUCGGCUUAACCGGGGAACUGCGUCUGAUACUGGAUGGCUUGAGUUCGGGAGAGGGAUGCGGAAUUCCAGGUGUAGCGGUGAAAUGCGUAGAUAUCUGGAGGAACACCGGUGGCGAAGGCGACUGCCUGGACCAGCACUGACACUGAGGCACGAAAGCGUGGGGAGCAAACAGG
rnacentral:rRNA from 1 species